UGAUGUCAUACAAGAUUAACAUCUGAGAUUCCAACUGCUACUAUCACGAAAAGAUACUGAAGAUAAACUGAGGUUGUUUAUCUCAGUGGAGAAAUCUUAACACUGAACCUGGGGCAACGGGCAGGUCAAGAGAAGUUAGACCUUAUAGGGAAAACAUCUCUGCUUCAACUCACGCCGUGUGAAGAACCUUAGCAGCUGUGUACAAAGAAAGAUGAGAAGGAGAUUCUUUUUGACUCCUUGGUGGUCCACCCCAGCCUCCUUGCUGCUCUAUCCCUGAAUCUGGUGAUUAGGAUGCUGUGUAUUUAUCUCAGCCAAAACCACAAUUGCCACGUCUCAUCACCUGGAAAUAAACAGCAAACGGGGCUGACUGUUACUGCUGAGGAAACGCAAAGAUGUGUUGGCAACUCCUGGGAACUGAGUCUGAGUUGCUGAGUUGGGCUCUGCAUUUGGUAUU